CCCACGGCUCACGCCGUGGGCUAAUCUCUCUCGGCCCUCCGGGCCU
rnacentral:sRNA from 1 species